CUCCCCUUCGCGUUUGCGUUGCUUUCCUCUUCACCCACAUUGCGUGUGUGUGUUUCUCCUCGGGCAGUCUCUUUGUCUCUUGGAAAUUCUUGUUUUUCUUAUUUUUUCUUUUCUACAGUCCCAAAAGGUUGAUUGGGAACAGAAAAUUCAACCGUUUUCUUGCCAAGAGAAAUAAAUUCAGCCUGACCAGUAAACCAGGAAGAAAGCUGAGAUGCGAGGAAGAAAAAGGAGGUGGAAACUUCAACUUUGGGUGCAUGGAAUGCGUUGAAACAGUCGUAACUUUCUCCUCUUAUCCUCGAUACGUAGGCAGAGUGAGAUUGACGGGCAGGAGAAAAAACCAGCAGGAAAAAAAAAAGAAAAUAAAGAGAGAGAAGAACCUCGCGUUCCGGUCAAGAGCCAGUUGAAAAGCUCGUCGUUAAUGGCAUCUUCCGGCUACUUCUUCGGAAAAAUCCCGACACACACACACAUGCAUUCAUGGAACAAAUGCUGCUGCAAUAGAAAAAGAAGAGAUCAUUUUUUGAGGGAAAAAAGCAAGGAAAUUCUUAAAGCAAAGCGAGAAAGGGACCUGGAAGCAUAUAUGGUGCUGCGAUAUACGAAAUUGACACACGAUUAAAUCAACGAUGACUGCCUCGCGCCAACUUGUAAGUUCUUCUCCCCUCCUUCCUCCUUUCUCUGAAACGACAACAGUCAGGCAGCGAAAGGUGAGUGGCGAGAAAAAGAGAGCUCCGAUCGAUCGAUCCAGUCGAGUCGAGUCGGAAGAGAGCGAGGAUUACAGCUAGCGACCGAGCGAACGAGCGAGCGAGCAUGGCAGAGACUGAGCUUACUCUGGAGUCCAAGGAAUGGAACACAAGUAGUCAGAGCUCCUGGAGUCACUGACGGACGGGGUGGAAACGCUCGUGUGACUGAGUUACUUCUUUAAGCUGGAAAACAAAAUGUGAGCGAGCGAGAGAGGAAGAAAAACUUUAGAACUAACCGCAUGCUCCAUAAUAGCCGGAACUGGAAACGCACGGACGGUGUCAAGAUGCACGGAUAGUCCUUCACAAAGAAAAAAAGAAAAGAAAAAAAUGCUUUUCAAGUCAUGCUUACAGUAAUCGUGCCCAUCCAUGAAAGUCAGAGCCUGGAAAACGAGUGUCCCGUUUAAAACCUAAGCUGAGAUUAACUCACUUCUUGGUGACUUAACAUGCCUUUGAAGUUGAUCUGGCAUAAAACCGCGACCACCAUGCAACGGAAAGCACGGACGAGUUUAGCAUCUGACUGCAAUCAAUGAAUCGAGCUCGCAUAUAAAUACACUUACGCACGGCGAGGGGUGAGGUUUUAAGCCCGGAGAGGAGACCUGGAACAAAGAACGUCGAGCGAAAAAGAGGGAUUUUUACGAGCUUGGACCAAGACCAGCUUAGCGGAAAGAAAAGCUGUGCUUGUGCUCGCUAUACGUGUGCGUGGUGUGAGUGUCAAUCAAUCAAUCAUCUGCAGAAUAAGUUGCUUCGUGUGUCAAACUUCUGCCUGACACAAGAGCGGAAAAAAAAAAAGCGAGAAAAAAGGAGAACACCACCUCCAAAACGUAGCAGUAGCAGCCCCGGAGGAGUCAUAGCCUGGACAGCGAGAGGCCUCUACACACACAGAUCAGAUAAAGUGCUCCCGUUAAGAGAAAAAGAGAGAGUUUGUAACGAAAGGACUUGCCUGGAGCUUGUAGAGUCGUCUUCUUCUUCCUCCUCCUCUCGCCAAUAGCUCUCUCAACUUUUUUUUUGAGGUCCUUCUUAGAAGUGUCAGGCGGACCAAAGAAGAUCUCUAGCGGGAUCCGUGCUUGGCUACUUAAGAUCCUUUCUCCUUGCUCACUUUCCUCUUUUCUCUC
rnacentral:lncRNA from 1 species